UUUUAUCUUGGGAGAGCCGCCACAUGCAGGGAUAUAUUGUUCCUUGGAAACACUGUUACAUUAGAGAGAGAGAACGGAGCAUGGAAGGGGAUGUUGAUUGAGGGAGCAGAAGGCACACACAUUUGCUGGUUUUUCUAGGGAGGAUAAAACACUUUUCCAUUUCUUUUGAUAGAAGCCAAACGCACAAGAAUUUUGUUUCUUUUCUUGAAGCAUGGACCAAAGUUGUUUCUUGCAACAUAUAUAUUUAAAGCUUGUAGUUUGAAGUAGUUUUGUUAAUUAGAUUACUUCACUGUUUGCGUGAUUAUCUUUUAUGUUGCUUUAGUGUCAUGCUUCUUCUAGUUGAUUAUAAUGUGCUUUUAUUAUUCCACUUUUAAGCUCAUUCAUUGCCUUAAGAAGUAGGUACAUGUGCCACCUCUAGCUUUUAAUAUUGUGAAUUACGUUUUCAAUUUAUGAAGGACAAAGAACUCGGUGUUCAAUCAUUUAGAGGUGCAGCGUGUUUGAAUUGAGAGAAGCAGGUGAUUAGGUAGAGCUUAGGGCCCACGGUGGUGCUUUGGAGAAAAGAGAGGAAUGGUAAUGUUGUUGGAUGGUGCAGCAUGUGUCACGGCUAGGGAGGAAUUUUGGAAGUACUUUCAAUCUAAUUUGCUUUUGGAGAAUGUCAUGACAAAGAGGGUUUUUAGGCUAUUGCAAUUUUAAUUUUAUUUGGUAGAUGCCAUAGGUUAAUUUGGUUAAUUGCUAAAGGUAAUUUGUGUUGUUUAUUUCUUUUGCUUUAAUUUAAUUUUAUAAUGUUUGUUGAGUUGGG
rnacentral:lncRNA from 1 species